rnacentral:rRNA from 1 species
ACAGGGAUUGCCCUAGUAACGGCGAGUGAAGCGGCAACAGCUCAAAUUUGAAAUCUGGCGUCUUUGGCGUCCGAGUUGUAAUUUGCAGAGGGCGCUUUGGCAUUGGCAGCGGUCCAAGUUCCUUGGAACAGGACGUCACAGAGGGUGAGAAUCCCGUACGUGGUCGCUAGCCUUUACCGUGUAAAGCCCCUUCGACGAGUCGAGUUGUUUGGGAAUGCAGCUCUAAAUGGGAGGUAAAUUUCUUCUAAAGCUAAAUACUGGCCAGAGACCGAUAGCGCACAAGUAGAGUGAUCGAAAGAUGAAAAGCACUUUGGAAAGAGAGUUAAAAAGCACGUGAAAUUGUUGAAAGGGAAGCGCUUGCAGCCAGACUUGCCUGUAGUUGCUCAUCCGGGUUUCUACCCGGUGCACUCUUCUAUAGGCAGGCCAGCAUCAGUUUGGGCGGUUGGAUAAAGGUCCCUGUCAUGUACCUCUCUUCGGGGAGAACUUAUAGGGGGGACGACAUGCAACCAGCCUGGACUGAGGUCCGCGCAUCUGCUAGGAUGCUGGCGUAAUGGCUGUAAGCGGCCCGUCUUGAAACACGGACCAAGGAGUCUAACAUCUAUGCGAGUGUUUGGGUGUCAAGCCCGAGCGCGUAAUGAAAGUGAACGGAGGUGGGAACCUUUCGGGGUGCACCAUCGACCGAUCCUGAUGUCUUCGGAUGGAUUUGAGUAAGAGCAUAGCUGUUGGGACCCGAAAGAUGGUGAACUAUGCUUGAAUAGGGUGAAGCCAGAGGAAACUCUGGUGGAGGCUCGCAGCGGUUCUGACGUGCAAAUCGAUCGUCAAAUUUGGGCAUAGGGGCGAAAGACUAAUCGAACUAUCUAGUAGCUGGUUCCUGCCGAAGUUUCCCUCAGGAUAGCAGUAACGUUUUCAGUUUUAUGAGGUAAAGCGAAUGAUUAGAGGCCUGGGGGUUGAAACAACCUU